UACGUAGGGGGCAAGCGUUAUCCGGAAUGAUUGGGCGUAAAGCGUCCGCAGGUGGCUAUGUAAGUCUGCUGUUAAAGAGUGAGGCUCAACCUCAUAAAAGCAGUGGAAACUACAUGGCUAGAGUGCGUUCGGGGCAGAGGGAAUUCCUGGUGUAGCGGUGAAAUGCGUAGAUAUCAGGAAGAACACCGGUGGCGAAAGCGCUCUGCUAGGCCGCAACUGACACUGAGGGACGAAAGCUAGGGGAGCGAAUGGG
rnacentral:rRNA from 1 species